UUAUGGACUAAAAAGCUCUGGGUGUCAUUU
rnacentral:piRNA from 1 species